rnacentral:misc_RNA from 1 species
GGGAAGGCGGCCUGUAGAAAAGGAGGCAGCCACUGAAUGUCAGUCUAUAGUGACAUGGGCCAUGCCUCAGCUGACAGAUAGAUCAAAGCUUCCAAACAUUGUUGAUCCUGUCAUACAAAACACAAUGGAUUUAAAGCAUUUGUAUCAGGUUGCUGCAGUUGCUCUAUUAUGUGUUCAGCCAGAGCCAAGCUAUCGUCCCCUAAUAACCGAUGUAUUACAUUCCUUAAUUCCCCUUCUUCCCACACAAUUAGGUGGGACGCUACCGCCUUCUUACUGCUGAUCCAUUCCAAUUAUGUAUGCUCUCGCCUUACACAUUUUUGGCUAUUUUUUAUUUAUAAUACAACCGUCCUAUUAACCAUGUGUUAGGUAUAAAUAAUUGUCAUAUAUU